UACGGAGGGUGCAAGCGUUAAUCGGAAUUACUGGGCGUAAAGCGCACGCAGGUGGCUGAGUCAGUCGAUUGUGAAAGCCCUGGGCUUAACCUGGGAAUUGCAGUCGAUACUACUCAGCUAGAGUAUGGGAGAGGGUAGUGGAAUUCCUGGUGUAGCGGUGAAAUGCGCAGAUAUCAGGAAGAACACCCGUGGCGAAGGCGGCUCUCUGGAACGCAACUGACGCUGAGACGCGAAAGCGUGGGGAGCAAACAGG
rnacentral:rRNA from 1 species